rnacentral:lncRNA from 1 species
UUGUGCAACCCUGCCAACACAGAAGACAUCAUCCAGGUGGCAUUUAAGCUCUUUGAUGUUGAUGAGGACGGCUACAUCACGGAGGAAGAGUUUUGCACCAUUCUGCAGGCUUCUCUCGGAGUGCCUGACCUUAAUGUUUCUGGGCUCUUCAGAGAAAUUGCCCAAGGGGACUCUGUUUCCUACGAGGAAUUCAAAAGUUUUGCUCUGAAGCACCCAGAAUAUGCCAAGAUAUUUACAACAUAUUUAGACCUCCAGACAUGCCAUGUGUUUUCACUGCCAGAAGACGUCCAGACAGCUCCCUCUGUUGCUAGUAAUAAAGUGAGCCCCGAGAGCCAUGAGGAGGGUACCUCAGGCAAAAAGGUUGACUGAACUAGUGUUCCCAGUGACGGAUGGUGAUACGGGAAAGGUUCGUCAACAACACUGUGAAUGUGCUUAUCCACGAAUGUUGCUCAAAAUAGAAAGCUCUUUUUUUUUUUUUUUACUAAAAUGACAUAUUUUCUUCCUAAAACGUUUUUUAUUAACCUGCCUACAUCCAGAAAGUUCCUUUCGUUUUACCUUGUGCUCUACUGGUUGCGUUGACUGAUGAUAAGUGCUGUAUAUUUUUAAUGAAUUUUUCAGUUUAAUUUUCAUAAUAAAUCCAUUGGUCUUUCUC